GCCCUUGAAGGAUAACAGACAUCCAUU
rnacentral:tRNA from 1 species